ACUUAAAACUUAAAUAAUCAAUUUGUGCCAGCGGGAAACACACAAACACGUACCGGUAAAUUAUCAUAAUCAGAAUUUGUCGACGAAUUUGAUAUUCUUUUACAAAAUAUACUUAUCUUAAUAUGUAUAACCGGAGUUUAUAUUACAUGCCCCUCUCCCAACGAUAGUUGUAGUACUCUUAUAAUAGUAGUACUCAUGAAUACAGUUAAUCCGGGUUGUUGGGAGAGAUCACAUGCAUAAAUACAACAUGAAACAAACGUGUGAAAAAGGUACAUAAAAUCGGUGUGACCCGUUCUUGUAUUAUAAGAAAUCAACUUGCUUAGGCCUUGCCGGACUCCUCACAACCCGGUGGCUUGAAGGCGAUGAAGCUGAUGCACUGCACUUGCCUGGUGUUGUCGAAGCCGAUGAUGCGGACAUAGGCGUCAGGGUACUCCUUCUUCACCUCCUCCAGCUCCUUUAGCACCUGCGUGGCGUCGGUGCACCCGAACAUGGGAAGCUUCCACAUUGUCCAGUACCUGCCGUCGUAGUACCCGGGAGAGUUGCCGUGCUCACGGAAGACGAAACCGACCUUGCUGAACUCGAGGCAAGGAACCCACUUGGAGCGGAUGAGAUACUCGAUCUGCUUCAAGAGGGACUCCACGGUGAGAGGCGGCAGGUAGGAAAGGGUUUCGAACUUCUUGAUGCCCUCAAUUGGCCACACCUACAAUUAGAUUAAUAAUUAGCACCGAAAGUAUAAUUUGAGACACAUAUCAGUAUUUCACUUCAACAUAUGUACAUGAUGACAUACAUACCUGCAUGCACCUGAUCCUUCCACCGUUGGAGACGCUGCCGAGACCAGCGCUGGCUGAGCGGCGGCCGAUGGGGAGCCCGGCGGUGGACUUGAGGCCCUGGAAAGGAGCAACGGCAGUAGCCGCUGACGACAUCACUGUGGGAGCCAUCGUACACGUACGUAGAUAGCUAACAAGAGGAGGCAGGCUUGCUUGAGUGCUCUCUAGCUACAGCGGCUUAUAUAACUGUAGGCUCCCCACCCAUCCAAUAUCAGCACAAGAUCUAGGAGGGGUGGCUGCAGUUCGCCGCGCGGAUUUGCCCAGGCCACGCUGGCAUCCUACGGAUCAGGUCGGGCGCCACAUGGCCGCACGAAAUGGCGCGCGUUAUCCUCUGGACGGAUACAAUUGGCUGCAACGCACUCUGCAAAUCAUGCCAUGAAGUGACCAAUUUUCACCUAUCAGGAUAGAUCCAAUGUGCCACGGCAUGCACUCAAAAACAGAACUUGCUAAUCCCUCCAAUCCAUAAAAAAUCUCGCCCACUUAUUAGAAAAUUUGUAAUGAGUUAAUGCAAAAUGAGCAGCACUUUUUAUGAACUAGAGGAACAACAAAUUAAGAGAAACUCUUCUAAGAUCUUAUCGAGAACGAAGCUUGCCCCCGCGUCGCUCAGUCUGGGGCGACACGGGCGGCAACCACACCAGCCCCGGCAGCAGCCUCUCCCCGUCCUCUCCUCCCCCUCGCCGCCGCCGGGCAAAGCCCGCACGGGGACGGCGGCGGCGGGGCUGUUUUUCUUGGCGGGGGUGUCCUAGAGCUCUUGGCUGAGGCGUUUGAGGUGCUGCCUCAUCGUGGUCGCGGCGUCUCCGGCCCGAUCCGGCAGGCUAUGCCUCGUCUUCGGCUAGAUCCGGCCGGCUUCCUCCCGGAUCCGGUGUUUCCCCUCGUUCUUCCUCUCCCUGGUGCUCGGUCUGCUCGUGGCUGCGCGGCUUCACGGCGGCGCUCUUCGGCCGGAUCUAGCUACUCGUUGGCCAGAUCCGUCAUCUCCUCCGGCUGAUCCGGCAUGUCCCAGGUCUCUUCGUUUCCAUCAUUUUUCCUCUCAGUUUGGUGAGGCGGCUGAUUGAACUUCACCGGCGGCAGAUGGGCUGCUGCUGCGGCCAUACAUGGUCCAAGUCGGUCCUUUUCGAUGCCAUGGUGGCGUGGUUUUCAUUUUCGGUCGCGUCUUCGGCUGCUGCCCGUGUGCGAGGUAUGGACGUCGGCUCCGGUGUUUGGAGUGUUGCUCUGGAUGAAAACUGCCCGUGUGCGAGGUAUGCCGAAGACAACGAUGUUGUAGCGCCGUUUUCCUUCUUGGAGGUGUCGUCGAAGAGCUUCACUUUCCCUCACUUUGAUGUUUGGUGUCUUCGGGUGAAAACCUAAGAUUUGGCUAUGGCCAGAUCGGGCGACAACGGCGUUUUUACGUCGAUUUCCUCCUUGGGGGCGUUGUCAUGGAGACAACGACUCUUGGUGGCAUCGGGUGGUGUGGUCCGUCUAUGGUGGAGCUUGUUGUCUCGAGUUGUUGAAGGUUUGGUGGUGUCUCUUCUUGUGUCAUGUGUUAGCUUAGGCUGUCGGUUUGUGUCCGGCGAGAACGUGCGUUUCUUAUCCUUUGGUGCGGUUUCGGCAUGUGAUGCCUUUCGUCUUCACUAUCGUCACGUAGGUGUCGUGUUGUAUUCUCGGUGGUGUGUGGUCUUUCGGCUUAGCCAACGGCAAGUGGAGGUAUGAUCUCGGUUGUGUAUUGCCCUUCGACUUCAUCGGCGGCACAUCGGCGUCGCGGUGGGUCUCAGUGACGCGCAGCCCUUCGACUCUGCCGGCUACGUAGGUGUCAUGGUGCGGCCUUGACCCUGUGCUUCCCUUCAGCUACGGCGACGACAUAGUGUCUGGGUGGGCUCGUCAGAUCGACGCCUUUCGACUACAUCAACUAUGCUCUUCAUUGUGCAUUUAUUUUGCCAUUGACAUGUUUCAAGAGUCUAGGUUUUUUCCUUGUGUUUCUUUUAGCAAAUGCUGUUCUGCAGGCUGGCUUUUGCCCACCCGAUCAGAAAAGAAAAACAAAUUAAAGGCUAAAAUCAAGCGAUGUUAUAUUCCCUUAGCUAUUACAAAUAUGGAUGAUAAGAGUUAUUUAUCCUUUUUCAACGAGUAACCCUUUACUUGGAAGUUCCAUGUGCAUGGCGCUGCAAGAAAACAAACAUCAUAAUGGGGCAAGACUUUUUUUUUUAUAAACAUCCAAUUUGGGUUAAAGUCUGAAAGAAUUUGGCUAUCUGAACUUUCAGUUUCCACAUUCUUUUACCUACUCAAUUCUUCAGCCAACAGGAUCAAUGGCGACCUACUAACACCAACCAGAACACAUGGGUCACAAACACGAAAAAGGGCUAGAAGGCUACUUAUACACACUCAUGUGUACUGCGAGCAAAAGAACAUAAUGUACAAAACUUUACAAAAUCUAGGGAAUUAAGACCUUCCCGUAUGCUGUUGCUGCCGCUGCUGCUUCAUGCUGGCUCUCCUGGCAACAUCCCAUGGUUUGUGAGGCACACCUACACCUUGCUGGGAUGCGAAGAACGACUCGUAUCCCGGGGAGUCGAAAGCAAAACCAGUGUGCUUGGAGUUCUCUCGAGGGAGCAUGGAGAUCGCAUAGCUUCUUGCUUCUUCUGGGCUCAAAUGGCUCCUCUCAGGCAGAUGUAUCAUGCUGUAUUCGUGGGGGUCAUCCUUGUGCAUCUCCUGGAUUACUUGGUAGUCAUAGGGAAAGAGCCAUCUUUGGAGCCUGAGAAAGCACACAGCAUCAAAGACAACAAUUGAUUCAGCUACUUCAGUAUGUACAAUGGAAGGAAUAACAAACGGAUGGCAUUAACAAACAUAUAAUUUUGCAAAAGAGCUGGUAUCUUACGAUAGAUACAGGAAAUCACCAAAGAGAGCGAUGACUGGAGCAAGCAUUAGUGUGAGGUAGAAGAAAAAGGUACUCAUCAGAACAUAAAUCACAAAAUAUACAUUUUCCUGCACAAGGUACACAGCAUUAAGUCAAUGCAUUUGUAGCAAGUAAUCGUCAUCAGCAGUGUAAUAGCUACAUUAUUCACCCACCUGUCGGUCAAAUGAUGUCAUUAUCGCAGAAUAUAUGAAGAUAAACAGAAACCAGGCCGCUAUACUGCCAGCUACGCUGAAAUAAUGCCAUCUCGUGAUAGAAUUGCACGACAUGAGGAGACGUAGAUUAACAGUCACCACAACACAAGUAAAGGCCAUCGUGCUAACAUCCCAUUGACCAAGAAUCUUGCCAGAUGAACCGUGACCAUGCUGACUUGCAGCUGCAGUAAAGUAAUAGAACACUAUUGACUGGUAGAAGGCAAAGAAACCCCACACCGCAAUCACUUUCCACCGGAAGAAUGUGUUCCUAAUUCCUUCUUGGUAAAGUUGUGGGUAUUUUUUUGAUAGAGAUGCACUCACAUCCUGAAAGGGUUCAGUUUAGUGAAUGUAGCAAGGAGCGUCACUCCAGAACAAGAAAAGUAGAACAAAUACAAGCAACCAUACCUUAUCAAACAACCCAACCAUAAUUACAGGUAGUGCCGUGAAAAUGACAUUAUACAGAGACUGGAACCAGUCAUCAUAAAAUCGCUGACCAGAAAAGCCAGUUUGGAAAGUGAACCAGAACUGAGUUAGUGUAAAAGUCAGAUUCUUGUAGAAGAAGUAUGUGAUAACCUGAAACAGAAAGUGUCAAUGUUAAAAAAAUUAAACUACACAGAUUGGCAGCUACAAGCUAAGGGACCAAAGCAUACCUUGCACAAUCUCAAGUAUGACCACCGCCCAUGUACAAGAAGUAAAUCCGUAAGAUAUCGAAACUGAGCAAUGGCAAAAUCACUCGCCAUAACAGCUUGCAUUCCUUCUUGUCCGCUGAUGCCAAUACCAACAUGAGCAGCUUGAAUCAUACUCACAUCAUUAGCACCAUCACCAAUACUGAGAGUUAUCUUACGUGCACCUUUCCUAACUAAACUUGCAACCUACAAAUGUGUCAACAUUACAUGUUUUGGCAUCAUUCGAACCCAACAGGUUAUUAGGAAAUAAAUCCAAAAAUAAGAGACUUUGAGAUUGCUGAUGGGAUGGGUAACAACCAAAUAAGCACAUAUACAAUAAGUUAAUUAAUACUACCUUUGUUUCAAAAUAUUAUACCAAAACGUCUUAUAUUUUGAAACAGAGAUAGUACUUAUAGUACAAGAGUGUACAGGACAUUUAGUUAAGAGGCCAAAACUAGAAUAGCAAAAGCAACCAAUGCACAGUGGUUAAUAAUGAUCUUGUGAAUCAUGCACAAACUAUUUUGUUGUCAAGGUACAAAAUUGGAUCCUUUAAAAUGUAAUAAUAUCAAUAUCCCCCGUUUAUUGCCCAAGCAUCCUGAAAGGCAUGCAGCUGAGAGCUGCAGACCAUACUGCUAAUUAUUUCAUGGGAAAAGGCAAGGCAUGCAUGAUAAGAACGCUAAAAGCGAGAAUUGAUAUUUACCUGUGCCUUUUGCAGUGGAGAAACUCGACAACAUACAACUGAUUGGCAAAUUAAACUCAAACCAAGAAGAUUCACACGCAGAGCUGGGUCUAGAGCGUACAUCAAGCAUCGUCCAUCAAUAAUGAAAGCCAACUUUCGUCCUGGCGUGCUCCUCAAAGAACGGUGGGCUUCCUCAAGGUAACUUCUCAGACUCUGUUUUACCGAGUCUUUGAUAACACGUGCAAUUUCCACAGGGUCUCCCUGAAAAUGACUGGAACAUUAUUCAUGGCAAAGAUAUGUGCAUAAGUUGAUUUACAUCAAUCAGAUACAAAUGCUAAAUUGCUAAUUAUGGUUGAUCAAACUGCAAAACACACGAGAUAUCCAAAAGGCUAUAUAAACAUGAUGGAGAGGCUAAAGCACUGAAACAACAGAAUCAACAUAAAGUAUUUUGUACUAUUAUGCAACUAAGCCUUUUGUCCCAAGCAAGUUGGGGCAGGCUAGAUAUGAAACCCAAACAGAAACUAAAGCAAAGUGCAGGUAACAAAAGAGCAAGAGAGUAAAUCAAGGUUCAGGCACAUGGACUGCUGAUUUCCAUGCAGCCCUAUCAAAAGCAAAAUCUCUAGAUACAUUCCAGUCCUUCAAGUCCCUUUAACUGCCUCCUACCAAAAGCAAAUAUCAUAGUAAUCCACCAACCAAAGUAACAAGGGAACUACUUGUAACUUCUUAGUUCACAAGUACAUACCAGUUGAGCUAUCCAAUUAUUCUAAAUAAUAUGGUUUGAUACCUUUACCAAAGUCUCAACUUGUAUUCAUUUUAAAGCUUAUACAAGAUAUUAUAUGUUAUGGCUUAACAGUCUCCAUGACACAAUAUGGCUUGACUUCACAGUUUAAUUCUAUAGGAUUAUCUUACCCUGUCUUCAGCAUCUCUAAUUGCAUCUGUCUCAGAAGUGAUGAUGAAUUGUUUUGUAUCGUUAUUCACCAGGCUGCACGCUGCAGAGCAAAAACUAAAUAACUUCAGAAGCUUUUCUAUGUCAGGUGAAAGAGAGAGAAAAAGACCGCCCGCCCCCCACCAAUAAUCCAAAACUGAGCUUCUAUUAGACCCCUUAAGAACGAAACAAGCAUGCAAAUUGAUCUAUAUAUAAUUAAAACCUCACCAUAUGCUAUAUUAAUUGCUGUUUCCAUUUUAUCUCCAGUUAGCACCCAAAUUUUUAUGCCAGCUGCAGAAAGAGUUUCAAUGCAGGCUGGAACCCCUUCUUGCAGUUUGUCUUCUAUUGCAGUGCACCCUAUCAAUAUAAGGUCCUUUUCAAUCAACUCAGCCACCUACAGGGGAAGAAACAGAAGGAAAUUAUAUGGCAAUGUCCCAGCAAUAUCUUAAAUCAGAAUAUACAUUAAGUCUAUUACUUCAAAUUCCUUUUUCCUAGAAAUCACAGUGAACUUAGUACAUGAAAGAAUGAAAGGAUAAUGCUUUUCUAAUGGGGAUUUGAAAAAACAUCAUAAAAAUAAUAAUAUAAAGUACUGUAUGUUCUUGUUCUAGAUAAAUUACAAAUAUCUUUUGCUCAUGAUCCUCUUUCCUGACUAAAAAAUAUAUAUUAUUAUGUAAAAUACUAAUGUUCUAUGGCAGUACAAGAUAAUAAAUUAGCACAAAAAACUAUUAAACUGCAAAUGUCAGCUGUUAGGGAUGGAUGACAUGACUCCUGUAGUUUUGGGGGGAGAGAGAGAGGAGACACACUGAACAAAUUACUUCCUUCGUCUCCAAAGAUUGCCAUGCCACAUUCUAUUCGGUCAGUCAACCUUUUACAACUUCAAAAUUAACAAUUAUAAGUGAAUUGAAUUACUACAUGAAAAAUAACAGCACUCAAUUUGCUUGCAUAAUAAUUUGUACGCAAAACUUUUGCUUGUAUAUUAGCAUAGAAAUCAUAGCCAGAGUUUUAUGUUGGGAGAAUAUAAAAUUAAAAAAUGGCCUACAUUUGUCAGGUACAUUCAGUUAAUUGUUUCCAAAACCAAAUUAAUUUUCAUACAUAAAUACCAAACGGAUCAAUAGCAUGCUCAACAGUGCACAUGAGACUCGAGUUCAGUACUGGAUGACAGAAAGUAAAAAAAAUCAGGCAAGCACUAGAAGGUGGAGGGGAAGUAAUCGAAAUUCAAAUCACAGGGACUGUUCAGCCUGUAUACUCAACAGAAGAGGAUGGUACACAUACCUCAUCAAGCUUCUUAUCACGAUCUCGUAAAGAAGAUUUAGCUUGAACAAACUUCUCAUUCCAGCUUUCGUACUGCUCCCUGCUUAGAUCUCGAUAAGCAAGGCAAAGCGUGCGCAAGCCAGCAGAGCCAAAUUGUUCUAGAUGUUCUCUGCUUGUCUUUUUAAUGUCAUGAUUUCCAUCAGCUAACCGUUCAAAAAUGACAUUAUCAGCGCCCUGUUACACAACAUUUGUAUAAGGUUAGUGCAUCAAUCUACAAAGUGAUAGCUACAUAAAGAUUCUUUUUUCUUGUAUUACCUUGCAAUACAGAACAAGUUUUCCAUUUGGGAAACGGCAAACCACAGAUUGGCGCUUUCUUGUACUGUGAGUGCAGUAAAGUGUGAAGUGCAGAACAAUGAUUUCAUCUUGUCAAAUUUAAAUUGAAAACAGAUAAACCAGACCUGUUGAAUUCCAAAACAUUCAGAAUUUCAUAUGCAACAUCUUGUAUACUCCCCAUCCUCUCAACAUGUGAUUCCCGAACCAAGACUGUGGUUGGCGUACGUCUACAAGACAGGCACAAAAUGUCAACCACCGGCAUUGCCAUUCACAAUAAAAAUGCCACAUGAAAUAAUUUGCAACAAAAAUCAUAAGAACUUAGAUGAGUUCAUGUUCACAGCACUUGCUUUAACACUUGUCUUAAUUUACAACGGCAAUUUUUUGUUGAUGGGCUAAUAGUUUAUUUAUGCUUCUUAGUAUGUACAUUCAGUCCUUCAUACAACAAACUAUAUAAGCAAUAACCUGGGUGAGUGACUCUUUUAUGCACAUUUUCCUUGGGACCAUAGCAUAGUUUUUUAAGAUACCUUGUUUGCAACAAACUGAUAAGAGGAAUCUAUAACUGUAUUUAAAGGCAAGGUAAGACAUGCCUAUAAAAGAAGAAACCAAAAUUCUUCGCAGCAGCGACAAGCGCGGCCUCGUCGGGAGAGGCAGCUUGAUAAGUAAUCUUUUCCGGUGUCUCCUCACCCUCAGGAAGAACUGUAUGACAGAUUGCAAGGCAUCUGCAGAAUUGCUAUAGAGCAAAUAACAAAGUUGUUACACAACUAGCACAUUAACAAGGGAAAAUGUGAAAAAGGAAAAUAGGUUCCAAAUUUUAUUAGUAAGGGCAUAUAUCGUGAUAUGUGAAUAAUUUGUGUCAACUAAAUCAAAACUGAUUAUGACCAAAGGGGAACCAAUCGAACUAUUCCACAGGUAGUCCCGUAUUUACCACGCAAGCAUCAGGAUUAGGUUCAUUUCUCCAUGCACCACGCAUUAUUCUAGCAUCAUCAAAGUUGAAUCCUUUCUCAUGAACUGCAGUGGCUGAUCUUUUACCCUAAAAAAGGCAAGUAAACUGGAUAUUAAAUCAGUUGUGCAUUAAAUUUUUCAUCAUAUACCACCACACUUCAAUAGCGUAAACAACAAAGAAAAUGUUGUAGACCUCAUCAUCAUCAAUCUUGACUCCGGCUCGCUCGGCUCCUCCUUUUUCAAUCUCUGUGAUGCCAGUUCCAUAUAUUUCCCCUCCAAUCGAACAUUUAAAGAAUUCCAUCAAGUUUCUUGUAAGUGUUCCAGUUUUGUCAGAAAAUAUAUACUCAACCUGAACCAUUAGUGGGGCAAAAAAAAUUUGGCAGAAAUGUCAAAUUAUUUGCAAGUGUUAAGUGCAUUUUAGUACCACUCGGCAUUUGUUCAGUCAUAUAAGCAUUUCUGGGGAUCUAGAACAGUUUUUCGGUGGGAGUAAGUCACUUAAUAUUAGUGAAAUGAGACUGUUCCCCAAGUGCUUAUAAUUGAUCCCACUUUCUGGAAUGAGUCGGUGCAGUGAGGUCAUUCUAUCCAUUAACCAAACCCAGCCAUAUAGGUCAAAUAAGUAAAUAACCCCAUUUCAGCAACAAACAAAGGGGCUUUCAUCAAACUAAACAGAAUGCUAAGGAACAAAAAAAAAACUGAUAUUACCUGCCCAAGCUCCUCAUUCAGAUUAGAAGUCCGAGCCAAAGCUGGGGUGUUGCUCUCGGCAUGAUACAUAUUCAGAUCAUUGUUAAUAAACUUUGCACACUGAAUGAAUUUGAUCAUCUGCCAGCCAAAAUAAACAUAAGGUCCAAUCCAAAUACAGGGUACACUAAAUGAUAAAUUGGUCAAUAUACCUCAAUGGAUACAUAAAGAGAAAUGGGGAUGAUCGUUGAGUAUAGAGUUAUUAGAGUAAACAUAGUUAAAAUGGUCACCUGCAAAAGUACAAACCUAUGAUAUAAGGCCACUUAGAGAAUAUUCUCUACAAUAAAUUAACUAAAAUAAUAUAUACCACAAAUCUGUUCUUGGGAUUAAACUGGUCCUCGACACGCCCACGCAAUCCAAGAUAGAAGUAUUUCUCAUUAAUAAACACGCCACUGUUCACAAAAGCCAAGUAUGAUGAGUCCAUUGGUAGAGUUUUAGGUUUCUAAAGAACGUGCAAGCUAAGCAGUCAUAGUUACCAAAAUCUAUAUGCUGAACAGAGCACUUCCAUUUCUGACCAUCUAGAAAGUGCCCUAUUAUGUACCUCCCACAUAAAACCACUAAGAAAAAAGAUAAGGCUAUUAAGACCUAGUCAUGUGCUCAUCUAUACUGCUCCUAUGCCACAAUAAAAAAAUAACUUCCCCAAACAAGCUCCUGACAACUCAUGUCAUAAUGUUUAAAGUUUAUCUCUCUAUUAACAGUUGUUUUUUCAUGAUCAAUUAAAUUGUGAAAAAUGAUUGUGCAAGCAUAAGCCUCCACAACAUCAACCUAACCGAUAUAACUCAUGUUCAGAGAAUAUACAUGUAAACAAUAAUACAAGAUAGAUAAGUCAAAUAAAUGAAGUGGGCCAAAUAAAACACUGACCUUCCAAUAGCACCAAUGACACACAUCGUAAAGAGGGUUGCAAAUAGAGCAAGAAUAAGCUUGUCUAGUUUCUUCUCCAAUGUACUUCUUUUAGAGGGAACAUUCAUAGAAUUCAUCAUAACCUGCAAUAGUGUCCCACUGCAGUAAAUCUCAAAACUAGAAGCACAUCUAACCUACAAGUUGAAUAUAUAGGGACACAAAAUUGCACAUACUUUCGUCUCAUGGCCCGUGAAUAUAACAGCCGCGACAAUGUACUCUGUAUUACGAAGGCUGCAUCCCUGUGGCAAAGUGGUAAUAAGAGGUUGCAUGUGUGCCACAUAAAGAGAGAGAAUUAAGUGUCAUGCAAGACACCGUUCAGUCUGGUGAAAGUAAACAUUUCUUUUGCACUUUACAAACAUUGCUUCAACCCUUCACCACUUAUCCUACAUAUGGGACUAGAGAAGAAAUGGAAGUUGUUUAUAUGAAUGUUAAACAUUUCCAAAUUGUUUAUAUCAUAGCUAUCCUUGUUUGCAAACCAAUAAGAACAAUAUUAUUAUAGAGGUGUUUUAUGAUGAAAAUUUCUGCUGGUGACAUUUGGGUGUCGUCAAUAUUGGUAUUUGGAGGAGAUGUUGGUGAUCAAAGUUAAAGGCCGAGUAAAGGCAUCACGCUAUGAUGUUAUUUUUUACCUGAGGGAUUUUCUUAACAAACUCAUGCUAAAUCUAGAACAUGCAAACAACUUUGCAGGUGGACAAUCUUGUAAAGAAAUUUCAAGGGCAUGUUUGUGUGAGGGGUAUUACUUUGGUACGUGUUGGUAACUACAUACCUAAUUGUUACAAGAAAAAUCUCAUCCAAACAAGCCCUAAGGACAUUAUGGACCUUGCUACUGCAAAGUUGGUAAGUCGAAAAUACGACAGGAUGUCUGAUUGAUAUGUAGGACCUGGACCCACAUGUCAUUCUCACAGCGAGUCGCACUAUUUCAAAUGUCAACUUUGUGGUGGCAUGGUUUCAAUUUUCCCAAUAAGAAACUAGAUACAAAUAGCAUAGAUGAACAGCACUUACCCUUAGUAGUAUUUGAUUUGGUGAAAUUGGUAUAGUUUGCUUGUCCACAAUAAGGUUCCCGGUAAAUGUAUAAAGUGAAUUGUUUGGCUGUUCGCAUUGUAUUUCACCUGUAAGCCAUGAAACAUACAGAUAAUGUGAAGUUAAGAAAAUGUAGAAUAGUUAAGUGAAGUUCAGAAAAGGAGCAAUGCUUCCUACACCAACUACCGAAAAAUGUCUGCAACAUGGAACAAGAAUAGAUAAAAACCUUUGAAUUCAGAAGCCUUUUCAGGAAUUACGCAGUCCCAGGUUUUCUCCAAAGCCUUCCUUAUUUUCAGGUUAGUUUCCCCAUCAAGAUUUGCUGUCUAAGGUAAAUAGAAGUAUGAUACACUUCAAUUAAAACAGAGUUUCUCUAAAUCAUUCAAUAAUUUCAAUUUGGACAAAAGAUGGAGAAGGUAAGAAUGAAUAUAUUGACCUCUAUGUAGCAGACACCAUCAGGGUUCGUACUUGAUAGGAAGAGCAAGUCAGAAGGAAAGUAAGUGUCUUGCUUGAUCUGCUCUAAAGAAGUGCCAUCACUAUUAGUCUUUUUGGAUAUGUGUAUCGAGCUGAAGAUUAAAUUUGCACAGCACAAAAGAUCAAGUGCAUUAAUUUGUGGAAGCAACAGAUCAAUUGAAUUGAUCAUCAAAUUGCUAUCAGGAAAGAUGAAGACAUUACCCUCACAAUAUCUCCAACCUGCAGUCUUUUCCAAGGGGCACUUUCCCAUUUUUGACCUUGCAAUACAUCGACGUGCGCAUUAUUAAUUGACAUGUCAUUCUGGAAACGUUUCUGUAUAAUGGGAGGCAAACAAAAAGGGAAGAAUAUCAGAUAACAUUAAGAAUAGCAAUAAAAUAGUGGAGCAACAGAGCAUGAGAGCAAUACUAACCCAGUCCUCAAAAGCUUCCUUGAUGAGUGAAACCAAAAGCACUAAACUAAGUGGAACCACAUUGGUGACAGGGUGGACUGGACUGCGAAGAUACAAGCAUGUAUGAACUAAGAUUUCUAGAAGUAAAGGUGAAGGAAAGCAAAGGAUGACUGAAUCAACUGAUGGACUUGAUAUGCUAAGAAGUGUCUAGCUGUAACAUGAGAAUUCCAUAGGGUGCAUGCAUGAGAGAGAGAGAGAGACCUAAUUGGUGUAGUCGACAAGAUUGAAAUCAUAAGAAAGUAAAGAUUUGCCACCCGUCUGAACUGUCAAAGCAAAAAAAAAAACAAAUGAAUUACAAAAGGUUCCUAUGGUCAAAUUGCGAUAAUACAGAAAGGGAACAUCUAAAUCGGUGUUACAGCUACCAUUGCAAAGUUUCUUUAUUCGAUAUGGAAAAAUGCAUUACAUGUUUAAUGUAUGAAGCCAUUGAAAUACUUUAAUGUACCUUACGUAAAAAACAGUGGAUAAUGAAAUUGCCAGAAUUAUGGUAUCGCAUAAAAUGAAGGUUACAUUGAGCGAAAAGCAUGAUCAGGGCUUUACCAAAUAACAAAAUCAUACUUCUCCUUUUCUCAAUAUAUGGCAUUUUAGGUUUCAUUGAAGACAAGUCUUUGAAAAGGAUUUACUUUGUGUUGUUUUUAAGGCAUGAAAUUUAUAUCACUAGAUUCAUCCUCAAAAGUACUUAAUGUGGAUUCAUAUCAUAUAAAUCACAUAUUAAUGAAGUAAUUCUUGGUCAAAGUCUUGUAUUAACGAAACCUAAUAUGUCCUGUAUUGACAAAAUGAGGGAGUAUAUUAUCUAACAGUGCAUGUAUACAGGCACGAUACUGGUAGCGCGUAUUACAAGCAAGGUAUCUUAAAAACAUUGCAACACAGUGCCAGACCAGGUAAGCAACUAAGCAUCUCAUGUAUCCACUAUUUUAAGGGAAGUUGAUCCAGAGUGAGGAAAUAAACAUUUUUAAGGAGAUAUAUCAAUUUGCAAUGUGAAAAUGAUACGGAGUAGUAUAAUCAUUUCACUGUGAUAACAAAUACUCCCUCCGUUCUAAAUACUUGUCGCUGUUUUAGUGCAAACUAAAACAGCGACAAGUAUUUAGGAACAGAGGGAGUAACUUCCAUUUACCGUUAGACAUGAUACAAAAUAAUAUGUUGAAAAAAAAUCUAGCCAAAAACUAAAAAACAAACAGAAAAUCUGCAUUAAACGAUGACAAACCCAGCAGGUAUGUUGAUUAACAAAAUAUGUAUGAACAAAAAACAACGCAUCAAUACCUGUUCAAACAAUCCUUUAGGUAGAAAUGUCAGCACACUGUACUUUGUAGUCGACACAGAAUUUCCCUGGAAAUGUAGAAUGAGAAUGUUAAAGAACUAAUUCUAGCAGAAAAACAAAGUAGCGCUCUGCAUUAGAAUCGCGAUGGUCUGAUACCCAACAUGAGGGAGAUUCUGAAACUAAACAGAAGAGCUAAUUGCAACUAGAAGCAUGAAAAAAGUAUAGCUUGAUCUUUUUACAACAUCAAGUCUGAAUACAUUCAAGCAUUUACACUAACUUGGAACAAAAUGUGGGUGUCAAAGAAAAUGCAUGAAUACACCUACUUACAAUAAAGCACCAAUUUUGCAGUGAUUGGACAAACUAUGGUUAAAAUACUUAAUAAUAGAGUUCUACGUAUUUGGAGGCAUAAAACGCAUUGCAGUUGGAGCAGUGGCAUUAUCAUGUUAGUCAGUCUAACAUGGCAGUGAAUGACGUGAAUUUUUUGCUAGUUUAGACCUCUGGCCAGCGCAAUUGACAAAAAUGCCCCCCUCUCAAAACUAAUGCCAAAAAUGGUCUGGCAGAAGGCCCGAAAGGCGCCACAUUUCAUUUUUCGCCAUCUGAGCUGCGCAUGCAAACAUUCCGACAACCUGAAAGGCGGAAAGGCCGUUCCGCCUACUGCAUUUGAUGAAUGCACCUGACAAGGGCGGAAGGUGAACUGGGCCCUGCAGAUGGAAGCAAUUUCCACAUUUGUUACAGACCUGGAAUCUUUUUUUUUGUUGGAGUCGACGGACCAUGUAUGUGCGGAUGCAUAGGAAUCGGCAAGCAGCCUAGCUGCUAGUUCACGGGCACGUUUUACAUUUUCUUUCCUCAGGUUUGGCUAGUGCUACCACGUUGAUACUAAUCAACGCUUCUUGUGAAUGGGCUUAGUUGCUUCUACUAGUCGUGCGAGCGUUAAUCUUUUCUCUGUGCGCCUGCAUGUGCGGGCGUGGGAAUCGGGUCAGGUCCCUGCAGACAGCACGCCUGGCUGCACUGGGCCUGCUUCAGCUUCCGCCCCUGAAAAUUCACUUUCGUCCAUUUCAACUGGAAACAAGUAGGCUCCACCUGUCCUGUUGGCGGAAAGUUCAUUCCUCCUACCCAGUGGCCACUGGGUCAGUUGCUGGGCUUUCCACCACGUCAUUUUUCAAAUUAUAUUUCAGAUGGAGCUAUUUUUGCCAAUUCCGUUUGACAAGGGGCUACAAGAGCAAAGAAAUUGAAUGACAUAGCAAGCAAUCAAUUUCCCCUUAUAGGUAAAUAAUAAACAGCUUUGCUUCAGCUUACUGUCAUCAGCUGGUGGCUGACUGCCCUGACCAAACACAAGUUCAGUAAUCUACACAGCAAGCGGCACACAGGUGCAGCUAAGCACAUGGAUGAACAGAAUAUUCCAGCCAUUGAGGCUCAGCUCUCGAAGCUUAAUGCCAGGUGGCAUCUACAUUGUAUUGCAGCCCGUAGCACCCUGAUUGACUAGUAACCCAACAAUGAGACAAGCUCUAAUCCACCCAAUGACCUCACAGUUGGCAAGAAAUGCAGCCCUUAGUGACACGCACCACCCUACAUAACUUUCUCGUGGACUAAUCAGUAUGAAUCAUAUAAACCCUCUGCAAGCUGCAGUGAAAUAAAACUACUACUACUGAACUAGCUAUUGUCCCAGAUGGCCAUCUCCAACCCAACCGCCCAAGCAUGAAACAAGGGGCCAGUUACGAGAUCUAGGCCUACAGACCCCUAGACCUUGAGACAACCGACCUGUUGAUCAUCCGAAUUAGAGGAGGAGGUGCACACCCGUACCUUGUACCCGACCGGCGCGUUGGCUUCGCGGUCGUUGCAGUAGAUGGUGCGCACGGUGGGUGCCUGCGGCUGCGGCUGCCGUCGGAGGCUGCCGCCCCCGCCGCCGAGACGCGCCGUCCUGGACGCCUCAGCGCGGCCGGCCUGAGAGGUCCCCCCCCGCGGCGACUGCUCGCCGCCCAGCCGCGCGGUGGCAACCCGCAUCAUCUCCUUUAUGCGCGAGCUCAUCCUGCCCCCCUCAGCGCCAAACCCAGCGCUGGAGGAGCCGGCGGGAGAUCUGGGGAAACCUCACGGUGGAUCGGAGGGGAGACCUAGUCGGAUUUGCGCGGCUUUCUGGUGGAUUUCAGUGCCUCGCUGAGGAGGGGAUUCGAUUUGGGUCACGCGUUCCCGUAUGUGCGUAUUUUUUCCGUGUAAUUUUUUUGUUUUGCCUUUUUCUUUUCCUUUGGCUCCGGGAGAAGAGAAGACAGGAGGGGAAGGAAAAGCGAAGGUCGCGACUUCGCGAGGAAGAAAAUGAAGGGAUUACUGCAGAUCACACCCUUGAUUAUUUUCGAAUAUGGAAAGCUCCAGUAACUGAAGUUUGAAAUUCCAGCCGCGUUUGUCUUUUCCUUCUUCGAGCAAACAACCGUGUUCUUGACUUGUUCUAUGUUUUUGCUGUCCGGAGGACUACCCGAUUUGCAAGUAAAUAAUGGCAUUAAUUUCAUAUAAGCACUUUAGGACACCACACUUGACAUGGUUUUCUACUGACGACGACUAUAUGGUGGCUUUGAUGUUCCAUGAAUAGAUCUUUUUAGCGGUGUUUCAAGUUCAGGUGUUAUAACAAAGCAUUACUCUUGACCUAUCUUCCCUUGCGACCAUGCUUUUUGAAUCGCCAAGUCGAGUCGAAUCGCCCCCCAACAGACUUGGAGGUUAGUAUGAUUAGUCAGAAACUAGUCUCGACUAAUCAACCCAAGUCGAGCCUAGUGAUCAGUGAGGUUUAGGGAGCUCUAGCAGGGAGCAUUAGAGGAAAGGAGUGAAUUGCAGUAGAGGGGAAGCACGAGGGAACAGUUUUUGUGGUGCUGGAGCUUGAAGAAGAGGUUCAUGGCGGCUAGGAUCUAGGAGUCGAUAAACUUAGAACGCCCGUGUUGAGGCAAACGCGUUGAGGAAGACGACUUCAAAGGUGGUUGGCUCAUUAUCAGGAUAGGUGCGUGCCUGGCAGCCCAUAAAGGCCUAUUAGAAAACCCUAACUCCCCCCUCCCCCCCCCCCCCACACACACAUUGCCUUCUUCUACACCACACACGCACCAAUGGCGGCCAUCUUCUUCCCCUUCCCUGCUGCUCCCCAUGCCUUCUCUCCCUCCCCGAAAAGAAAUAUCUUCCGAAAAUUCUUCUCUUCGAGUCAAGUUGAGGGGCUCGCGGCGUUCCUAGUCACGGCGGCUAGUCGGAGAAGUCGCGGUUCUAGCUGACGAGUCGCGCGACUUGCUCUGCUAGUCGAGUCGCGGCUGCAAGCCGCCAUCAUUGUGCUGGCUCGGCGACUAGUUGGCGAUUCAAAAACCAUGCUUGCGUCUUAUAAUUUUGUUUCCUCUUAGAUUUUUUUCAAUUAUGUAUGGAACUCUUUUAAGCUUGGCUAACAUAUUGGGUCAAUUUGUCUCCCAUUGAAAAAAAAACAAUUUCCUAUAAAAAAUAAAGUAUCCACAAAACAAUAUGCAUAGCGCAGUUGUUUUCAAAGUUGUGGAUGAAACUUUGUGUUGUACAGGCAACCACUUAAUAACUUGUUCGGUUGUAGAAUUCCCCGCAUGUAUUGAAGAGGAUUAAGAGAGAUCUAAGGAAAAUUGAUCUGCAAUUCGAUCAUUCCCUCUUAAUCCCCAUCGGAGUGGAAUCAACCGAACGGGGCUAAUGUGGACCAUAUCACCUUGAGGACUCCAUUCUUCUUUUAUGGCAACGUUGCAUGGACCUUGAUAUGAACGCACGUGCCUGCAAUCUCUAUUAUUUUUUCGUAAAUAGCAACUGUCCUUUCUGUAUCUUGUAAUAUGUUUUCUACAAUUUUAUUUGGGAUAUUUCGUCAAGAACCCAAAUCGAUUACAUUUUCCACUUUGGCGAAUGAGUCAAGAUUCUCCAUGUGUUCCAGCGAGGCAACUGCGAGCUACACAUGUAUGGUGAAACAAGCCUCGCAACUUCGUAAGUAACUCCAAAACUACAUCAGCACGUCUCUUGAACUUUGGAAACACACAGACGUGUUCCACGACCGUGAGGCGACGGAGUUAACGGGGCAGCGUUGCCGGAAAGACAAGAGUACCGUAACAAGGCCCAGACUGGGCUGCAUCGGCGUUCUGCCUCUAUUACAAGCGAGAGAUGUUGAACCGGCCAAGGUUAGGCAAGGCAGUCAGCGGGAGGAUUUUUUUUUUUUUGUUGUUGGUUUUGAAGAGGCGCGGGAGGAGAAGAACUUGCUUGACCAGCCCACAAGAUCGUGAACCGGUAUGACAUUGACAUUUUAUUUAGGGCCAGUAACGUGUAAUUAGAAGUACUAGCUUACAUCUCUUCCUUUUUGAACCGUCAGAUCUGCAACCAUAUCAUCUCUCCCCUUUGUCCUCUUCGCUAUGCCGAUUUUAGUGAAACGCCGCUGCCAAAUCUUCACAGGAUUGUGAACCGGCAGCAGCUUCGACCCUUCAAUAUUAUUAUUACAGCUAAAUAAAAGACUGAAAUUAUAGGUGAGGUCCUUUGUUCUAAUCGCCCAAGCGAGCAGAAGCCAAGAGAUUACGUGCAAGCAUAGCAUGGCCAUGUUCGCCAACUCAUGACAUAGUGGCACAGGGACUAACCACCUGGAUUACAUGGCUAGCUUCCAUAUAUGUGCAACAAAAUAUUGGUACCAGGCAGCCAUCUGUGCCACCAACCAUAAACUCCCUGAUCCCAAAAAAUACAAAAUACCAAGAGUUUCCACCCACAUCAGUACAAGUGCACAACAGUUUAAGAGACAAGCCAAGGAUCAUUCCCAGUUUGUGGGAAUAAAUAAGAGUCCGCAGCAAACAGAAAACUCAAAAUCGCUGGCAAAGUUAGGAUGUGGAAAAAAGAAAGGCUUAAAAUGAUCUAGCCAUGGCGUCAGAAUCUAUUAUCAAUGUUUCUCUCUCAAGGAUUUCCCUUCUAUAUAAAGUAUAAUAUUACAAAGGGGCUGCUUAAAUAUCAUGGACUCCUGGAAUGUAAAGAGGGUAAUAAUCAACACUACAUGAGCCUCCUUUUUCCUGAGGCUGCUUCCUAAGACUGACUGACUGCUUCCCCGAGGAUCCACAUACACCCUCCCCUCUCCUCAAGUUCCACCUCCCACCAUGGAAGUUAAACCCCCACCAUGGAUCCGAUGCUAACCAACUGUACGCGACCUGGAGAAAGUCAGUCAGCUUGGUGGUUCAAUCAAGACAGAGCAUCACGAUAUUGCCCAAAUGGUAUAAUUGGCAGGAUCAAUAAGUAGUUUAUGCUCGCAGCAAGAUCCAAAAGAACCAAUCUACCAUGACUAAUGUAUGACAAGAAUGAUGUCUUAUGUCUACUUUCAGAUACACUAUGGUCCAGGUGAAACAAUAUUUUAAAGUUUAGUAAUUACUGGCAGUAGUAGACAGACCACAGAAGUGUAAAGAUAUUUGCACACAUGACCUUUUAAUCCAAGGCUAACCCAACCUUGUAAGCUACGUGCUGUUUGUGCUAACGCUGCUGCUUGAAUGCAAUUAGACAGUGGUGAUGUCCUUGUUAGUCUGUUACAUACCUAAGGCAUCACCUCCUGAUUCUAGGUUUGCACCGGAACUCUGCUAAGAGCGCUAUGUGAUCUGAUGACCAUUCAGGUGAAGGAAGAGCAGUGUCUUUUCUUAAGCUCUCCUCAUCCAGAAGUUCCAACAAAGACUCCACGGUCAACGAAUCCGCUGAAACAAUAAAGGAAACAUGAUCAACUGACCAUAAUCAAACAUAUCACAAUACUACAAGCUGAUUCUGAAGCAAUUCCCAGAAGUCUAAAUACAGCAUACAGGUCAGGUACCUACCUGUGUAAAAUAUAUAAUCAACAGUUCCAGUGAAAUCCCUUGUGCAAUUUGUGAAAAGUGGUUCAUUUGUUCCUGGAUCCAUCCUCCUUCGCUGGUGCUCUAAAUCAUAGCCAACACCUACCAUUCUUGCAAAUGAAGAAUAUGCACUGACCUGCAAACAAGUAAACAUUGGUCAGAAUUUUAAAGGAAGAACAAGAUAGACAAGCUUGAUAGUUUUACUGUACCAGAGGAAGCUGGUGCGUCAACUUGCUCACGGGGCGUAAAAUUGAAAGUGGGUCUAUGGCCAGAUCUGGAUGCAAUUGAUCAACUUUGCCCACCGCAAGAAGCCCAUGUGGAGUACUGAAAGACAAAAGGAAGCACUUAGAGAUUUAAAGUUAGAAAAAACAAGUAAACCUGAAAAAUAUUGCUCCAAUAGAAUCUUGACAUGCACCUCCCCGGGAUUGAAUUGAAAUCCCCACAGACCAACAUUGGAAUGUCUGCACUGUUGGCUAUUUUCUCCAAUCCUUUUAGUAGUGUUUGAACCUGCAAAAAACAUACUUACUUUCGAUCUGAAUUUUUCAGAUGUUGCAGAAUGCUAGCCUACAGAGAAUGUGACAAUACUGACCUCCCAUAGUUUCACAUCUUUGAGGUCUUGGUGGACAUUUACAUGUGUAUUGGCCUGAAAUUUGAGAUCAUUUAAAAGAAUGAGACCUCCAUGACUCCAAGUAGCAUAAGCCUAGGCCGUAUGAACAAUGGGAAAUCUGUAGUAAAGUUGGCCUCAAAAUCUAGAGUCUAGAGAGCCAAGUCCCAAUCAUCCGCCAUUAACAUAUAGAUGUUUCCGUGCAUCUUAUGCUACUAAGGUCAUCCUACACAGAUAUAUGUUUCACUUCAUUCCUAAAUGUUGUGAGCAAAGAAGGAAAAGAAUCCAUAUGUUGUUCUGCACUAUGCUGCUAGCAGUUCAAUAGCUAAACAUACGGGAAAGUCCACUUUUGGCCCCUUAACUAUUGCCUCAGAUCAAAAUCAUCUAAUUUGCACCCUCAACUAUCAAAAGCAUCCAAGUUACAUCUGAAGGCAAUAUUUGUUAGAGGCUUUGUGUGAUGUGGCAUCCAUGUCAACGUGUUUUGCCACAUCAAUCGCUGCUGGGCAGUAGGGCCCACAUAUCAUGGCUGCCGUGCCCCUUCUUUCUUUAUAAUUCUUCCUCCUUAGCCAUGCCAUGGCCUCCUCUGUAGGCUAUAGCUUCCACUGCUGCUGCUACAGAUAACCCAUGUUUGACGUUGCAUAACAUCUUCUGAUUUAGAGAGGGGUAUCCUGACAGACAUGUACCAGUCUCCGCAAACCGCUGCACGGCUGCAUCCUGAGGGGAAUGGACAAAGAGAGGAUUAGAGAGGAAGGCUGAGGAGGGAGGCGUUUAGGGCGACUCCAACACGGCCACCCAAAUCGGACACAAAAAGUGUGUCCGUUUGGGUCUGCUGGUGCCCCUAACACGGUCACCCAUUUGGUCCGUUUUAUUAUUUAGUAUUGGCCACGGAUAGGCGGGCCAGGGCAAGGACAAGGGAGGACAAGCGCAGUGUCCACCCGCUGUCCGCCCAGACACAAACCCGGUCAGAUUUGGGUCGGCAAUGGGUUGAGCUGGACAGAAAAGCAGACAGCCGCCACACCGGACGAAAUGGGUCGCCGCGUUGGAGUCACCCUUAAUGCUAAGCUGGGAAAGAGGAAGGGAACAGAAAUAAGAGGAUGAGGACAAGGGAGGGAGAAAAGGGUGCUUCCAAAAAAUCAAUCCCAGGCAUGUGGGGCCUACUGCCCAGUGGAGAAUGAGAUGUCAAAGUUGCUGAUUUGGCGGCUACAUACAGAAUAUCACUCAUGAAACCAGCUUCUGGUCCUAUCGAACGGUUUCAUGAGUUGAUGGUUCAAUUUAGACCAGGCAAAAGUUGAGGGAUCAUAAUUAGGCUUUUCCAAACAUAAAUGAAUGUCAUGCUGUAAAAGUAGUGUUCGUCAUCCAGUAAACUGGUUCGAAUAUCCAACAAGCGCACAACUACUUUAUACACAUCUAAAGAAAGAACAGCUAUUUACAUACCACACAAAGGAGCUGCCUUUUACCAGGAGUUUCAGUUCCUUGGUUGCCAAAUUUUGCUUCUAAAACCGCAAUCAGCGCAAUAUUAUCCUUCAAAGCAAAUAGAACGUGUGAUAAAUAACAUCACUUUUUUUUGCGAAAAGUGAUAAAUAACAUCACUGUAGCAUACAUUAUUUCUUUUGAAGUUAAUCUUACUUUAAUCAGUCGACUUAAAGCCACUCUUUUCUGGGAAGCUGGAAUAAUAGCUUCUGUUAAAGACUGUGCAGCCUUAUUGAACUCAACCUACACAAGCAAGUACAAGUAUUAGAUAGCUGCAAAUAUCAAGCUGCUGCAAACCUGCAGUACAGGUACCUCGUAUUUUUUGACAUGUGAAAAUCUAUCUCUACGGAAGAAAGUAGCACAGCCAUCAAUGGCAUUAGGAACUCCAGCAUACACCUGUGACAACAGUAAAGUAAAAUCAAACAAGAGACAAAAGGUAUUAAACCAAAAUAUGAAGGAAAAAAUCAACCCAAAGAUACCUCUGUUGUCCGUUUCUUGUAAAGCGCCUGAUACCCAUGUUUAUCAAACUCAGGAGCAAAAAAAUCCUCAAAGUGGUUCAAUUGUACCUGAAAACAGUAGGACUUGGCUUAAUUCCCUCCUGUUACAAUCUUCGGUCACUCUUCGUUUUUAUUGUAAGCCGCUUCAGUAAACUCUUCAUAAUAUAUAUGCAGACAAUAUUCGUGAAAGUUUAAACAGCAAGCAAACUAUCAUAAAUUCAUAAUCCAACAUCACUGAAAAGUGAAAACAAUCAAACAAAGUGAUGGCACAAAUAUGGAAACGAACAGCCCAGCAGUAUAUGAAAGAUUGUAGGUUGAUGAACAGGGUUCCGGCAUUAAAGUUUACCGAGUCGCAAAAAUUAUAUGAUCAACCAAAUGAGACAUGCUCGGUUCCUAAAACAAAUAUAUGAGAUGAAAAGCUGAAAAUAGGUCACCAAAAUAAAUAAAUUCAGAAGAUAGCAAACAUAUGAUACCUCCUGAAGACAUAUAAUAUCAGCAUGAUAACCAAUAAUUUCGCGCAUCAAAUUUUGUCUUCUGUAAGUCCAUGAAAGUGCCCACGUUGGGCAGUAGCUAUAUGCAUCAGAUGUAGCAUAUGCAUCAGCAAGAAUAUUAUAGGACAGCACCGUGAAUGUCCCAAAAGAAGAAGUCUGGCUGUCUAUAUCUGAGUGACCCAAAACAUCUCCAUUCACUUGGAUAAGGCGGCGUGGAGUAGGAGUUGGUGCUGGAAUCACACGUGAUGUCAUAAUUGAAGUUGGAGACCCCGCAGGUACUUUCUUUUCCGUAUCCACCGCUGCACAUUCAAAUCUUAGAACAUGCCCAAUAUCAUCAGCAGUUGGUGUAUACGUCUGCGAGCGUCCCACUUCAAACCAUGUUUCACCCGAGUUCUUAUCAGUGCCUGAGGGAUACAAGGGAACAGGUCCAUUAUUAACUCCAGGGCUCUGUCCAAGAUUUGACAUUGAGCCAGACCCAGAACUUAGAAUCCCAGAACUACCGCUGCCAAAUCUACCAAAUAGCUCCUCCUCUUCAGCUCCAUUUUCAUUUAAAGCACUACUAGCUCGCUCAUGCAAAACCCUGUGGUGCUGCCAUGCAUCAGAGAAGCACUUAGCAGAACAAUGGUAGCUCUUAGCAGCAGGUAUUUUUGACUUGAGACAACCUAAGCACUGAAUUGUUGCUUGCUCCAUCGGAUGUACACUGCAGAUAGUAACUUUUCGAUCACUCUGUAUGCGAUACCUUCGAGCGAAAAGUCAAAUCAGUAUAACCAUGUGCUACUAGAUACAGAAAAAGUUUAGAAGAACAUGAUUGAAUAUAGUAACUACAAGAAAGGACACCUAAAUUGCCAAUGUUUUAGCAUGUAUGAGAUCCAGGAAAACUUGCUAUCAGCAUCUUGGAAGUCCAUUAUUCAGAGACAUUAGACUCACAACACUUCCAUUAUAAGCAUAGUAUGAAUAAGGCAAAAUGAAGCAGGUUGCCAAGAUGUCGCAAAAAAAAAGAAGCAAAUUACAAGUUUGCUUGUCAUGAGUUGCUGCUGCUGUUGUUUUUUCUUGAUUUUAGUCCCUCAACCGGCUAACUCGUGAUCAUUCAUCUCUUGCUUUCUUUACCAGAUCAACCAUGCAACUGAUUUCUUUAGCGGACCAGGCAAUAUAUGUAAUAAGCAAAAUUCUACAGUUUAGAUCAGAGAUUCAGAGGACUAUUGCAGGCUCUCAUAUAUCAUCAUUAGGGCAUGACGACCAGACAAGGAAGUUGCUGUGUAUAUUAUUAUUCCUAGAAGAAAAACAUUUAAGUACUGUUCAAGGAGGCGACCAACUAUAGCCCAGUGCCCACCCCAUCAAUCGAUUAGUGUCUUUCAGAACACUUCAUUUCAACAAUGUGUCUAUAAAUGGCCACACUUACUAUACUCAAACCUCAAACCUUAAAAGUGAAUAAAGAUGCACAUAUCACAUGAGAUUCUAUCAAGCUAAUGACUGAAAAGCAACACAAUGAAAAUAUAAAAAACUAUAGAAUUGAAGGACCAAAACCAAUGAAACUGCAUGAGUGUUAGUGGGACCAAGCACCACCAUUUCGAAAAGUUCUAAGGUCUAAAGUCUCAGCAAUAAAUGCUAUUUAAACCUACAUGACAUUAAAAAAACGGAUGUGAUAAAACAAAUAAAUAUUCACGAACAUGAUCAAUCAUUCAGAGCGGGAUUCUAAAAUUGAUCACUGAAAUUGUUCGGCCACCCAGCUAUUAGUGAUUAUACAGCCGAGCUAGCUCAUUGCAGUGGGUGGCAUAACCAGCGGUUACAAGUUCUUUUCUCUCAUAUUUGCCUCUCCAUUUUUCAUUUUUUUAUUUCCAAAUAGAUCUACAAUGUUAUUUGAAUUUUAAAAAUAAUAGGUAGGGCACUCCUUACAUACAUGACCUCCUAGGCCAUUUAAAACAAAUAUGCAUUGUUUGGGGUUUUUUAUAUAACAUAAAGUAAGUUAACUAUGACACACUGCCAAAAUAUUUUUGCAUAAAAAACAUUAAAUUUGAUAUAGCACAGAAAGAACGUGGAUAUCCAGCAAGAGAUUAAAGAAGGCAAAGUGGGGCAGGCAGUCAGCAAAACAAAACUAGUGGAUCACGAGUUUCAAACUUUUACUAGCUUUAAGCAACUGAAAUAACUUGCCACUGAACCUAGUGAGCCAACAACUCUAACGUGUAAUAGCAAACAAGUAAUAAUUCUUUUGAAGCUCCAGAAUAAUCAAAACUGAGUCUAGAAUCAAGCUAGAAUGCCCAUUUGAGUUCACUGGUGAUGUUAGAGUGAUACUUAGUUCAAGGAGUAUAUCCAGAUACCCCAAUCAAAAAAAUCAUCUGAAGCCAUGCGAACAAACUGAUGGCACUUCUAGAAUAGUGUCUUUCCACAAAAUUAGUUAGAUAAGCCUAUGUAAUCCCAAAAUUUAUAAAAUGCUCCCGUUCCAUCCAAGAUGAACGUAAACAUUCCUGCACAACGAUUGGCAACAAUCCUCAACCCAACAGCCUUCAUCACCAUCCUAUGAUGCUAUCUAACACUCAAUAGUUCUAGCAAAACCAAAAUCAGAUGGUCUGUUUUGCUCAAUGAAUUACUUAUUAUCAUUACCAACCCGUGUGGCAGGUUGAUAUGGCAUAGACUAAAUAGUAUGAUUCAUAAACAGGCUUAAAAUAAUGCAAUACUGAGUUCUUUACCAAAUCAAGCAUUGGCAUUUCAUGUUCCCUGGGUUUCCAUUCGUUCCAAAAACAAACAACUGUCUUGCUAGAGAAAAUCAUGCUCAGAAUUCAUAUAGUUGUGCUUCAUUUAUGCAAGAAUCAAGACGAUUCAUGAGUUUAGCAAGUAGUUAAGCAUCUAGCAAACUGAUUGAUACUUAAAGCCCCCAUUUUCUUUUUUUCUUUUUUGUCAAAAUUCACUUGUAGCAACGCACAAGCGGAACUAAGCAUUCGAAAGUGUAUAUCCUAUUGAACCAAAAGUUGCAAUCACGAGCUGCUCACUCACCAUCUGUAUCGCAUGAAGUGGCCAUCAACAGGCGCGGCCUCAGGCACGUCGUCGGUGGAGAUUACACCGUUGGGCAGCCGCAGCAGCACGUACGGGGUGAUUUCGCACCCCACGAUCGGGAUCUCCGACGGCAGGUGCACCCGCACC
rnacentral:lncRNA from 1 species